rnacentral:rRNA from 1 species
UAAGGAAUAUUGGUCAAUGGACGCAAGUCUGAACCAGCCAUGCCGCGUGAAGGAUUAAGGUCCUCUGGAUUGUAAACUUCUUUUAUAUGGGACGAAAAGAGGUCUUUCUAGACCCCUUGACGGUACCAUAUGAAUAAGCACCGGCUAACUCC